CUACGGGAGGCAGCAGUAGGGAAUCUUCCGCAAUGGACGAAAGUCUGACGGAGCAACGCCGCGUGAGCGAUGAAGGCCUUCGGGUCGUAAAGCUCUGUUGUUAGGGAAGAACAAGUGCUAGUUAAAUAAGCUGGCACCUUGACGGUACCUAACCAGAAAGCCACGGCUAACUACGUGCCAGCAGCCGCGGUAAUACGUAGGUGGCAAGCGUUGUCCGGAAUUAUUGGGCGUAAAGCGCGCGCAGGCGGUUUCUUAAGUUUGAUGUGAAAGCCCCCGGCUCAACCGGGGAGGGUCAUUGGAAACUGGGAAACUUGAGUGCAGAAGAGGAAAGUGGAAUUCCAAGUGUAGCGGUGAAAUGCGUAGAGAUUUGGAGGAACACCAGUGGCGAAGGCGACUUUCUGGUCUGUAACUGACGCUGAGGCGCGAAAGCGUGGGGAGCAAACAGGAUUAGAUACCCUGGUAGUCCACGCCGUAAACGAUGAGUGCUAAGUGUUAGAGGGUUUCCGCCCUUUAGUGCCUGAAGUUAACGCAUUAAGCACUCCGCCUGGGGAGU
rnacentral:rRNA from 1 species